UACAGAGGUCCCGAGCGUUGUUCGGAUUCACUGGGCGUAAAGCGCACGUAGGCGGAUUGUUAAGUCGGGGGUGAAAUCCUGGAGCUCAACUCCAGAACUGCCUUCGAUACUGGCGAUCUCGAGUUCGGGAGAGGUGAGUGGAACUGCGAGUGUAGAGGUGAAAUUCGUAGAUAUUCGCAAGAACACCAGUGGCGAAGGCGACUCACUGGCCCGAUACUGACGCUGAGGUGCGAAAGCGUGGGGAGCAAACAGG
rnacentral:rRNA from 1 species